AUUGAACGCUGGCGGCAUGCCUUACACAUGCAAGUCGAACGGCAGCACGGACUUCGGUCUGGUGGCGAGUGGCGAACGGGUGAGUAAUAUAUCGGAACAUACCUUGUAGUGGGGGAUAACUAUCCGAAAGGAUAGCUAAUACCGCAUACGCUCUAAGGAGGAAAGUGGGGGAUCGCAAGACCUCAUGCUAUAAGAGUGGCCGAUAUCUGAUUAGCCAGUUGGUGGGGUAAUGGCCCACCAAGCCGACGGUCCUUAGCUGGUCUGAGAGGAUGAUAAGCCACACUGGGACUGAGACGCGGCCCAGAAUCCUACGUGAGGCAGCAGUGGGGAAUAUUGGACAAUGGGCGAAAGCCUGAUCCAGCCAUUCCGCGUGGAGGAUGAAGGCCCUCGGGUUGUAAACUGCUUUUGUACAGAACGAAAAGGUUUCUACUAAUACUAGGAGCUCAUGACGGUACUGUAAGAAUAAGCACCGGCUAACUACGUGCCAGCAGCCGCGGUAA
rnacentral:rRNA from 1 species